rnacentral:rRNA from 1 species
CCUACGGGGGGCAGCAGUGGGGGAUAUUGCACAAUGGGGGAAACCCUGAUGCAGCGACGCCGCGUGGGUGAAGAAGUAUUUCGGUAUGUAAAGCCCUAUCAGCAGGGAAGAAAGAAGACGGUACCUGACUAAGAAGCCCCGGCUAACUACGUGCCAGCAGCCGCGGUAAUACGUAGGGGGCGAGCGUUAUCCGGAUUCACUGGGUGUAAAGGGAGCGUAGACGGCCGUGCAAGCCAGGAGUGAAAGCCCGGGGCCCAACCCCGGGACUGCUCUUGGAACUGUGCGGCUGGAGUGCGGGAGGGGCAGGCGGAAGUCCUGGUGUAGCGGUGAAAUGCGUAGAUAUCAGGAGGAACACCGGCGGCGAAGGCGGCCUGCUGGACCGCGACUGACGUUGAGGCUCGAAAGCGUGGGGAGCGAACAGGAUUAGAUACCCGAGUAGUG